GGGCCCGCACAAGCGGUGGAGCAUGUGGUUUAAUUCGAUGAUACGCGAGGAACCUUACCAGGGCUUAAAUGUAAGUUGCAUAGACCAGAGAUGGUCUUUUCUUCGGACUACUUUACAAGGUGCUGCAUGGUUGUCGUCAGCUCGUGCCGUGAGGUGUCAGGUUAAGUCCUAUAACGAGCGCAACCCCUGUCGUUAGUUGCCAGCAAGUUAAGUUGGGCACUCUAGCGAGACUGCCGGUGCAAACCGCGAGGAAGGUGGGGAUGACGUCAAAUCAUCACGGCCCUUACGUCCUGGGCUACACACGUGCUACAAUGGUAUCCACAACAGGAAGCAAGACGGUGACGUUAAG
rnacentral:rRNA from 1 species